rnacentral:rRNA from 1 species
ACGGAGGGUGCAAGCGUUGUUCGGAAUUACUGGGCGUAAAGGGCACGCAGGCGGCCUGAUUAGUCAGAUGUGAAAGCCCACGGCUUAACCGUGGAAGUGCAUUUGAAACUGUCAGGCUUGAGUAUCAGAGGGGAAAGUGGAAUUCCUGGUGUAGAGGUGAAAUUCGUAGAUAUCAGGAGGAAUACCAGUGGCGAAGGCGACUUUCUGGCUGAAUACUGACGCUGAGGUGCGAAAGCGUGGGGAGCAAACAGG